UACGUAGGGGGCAAGCGUUGUCCGGAAUUACUGGGCGUAAAGGGCGCGUAGGCGGUCCGAUAAGUCCCGUGUGAAAUCCCUCGGCUCAACUGAGGAAUGGCACGGGAAACUGACGGGCUUGAGUUCGGGAGAGGGAAGCGGAAUUCCGGGUGUAGCGGUGGAAUGCGUAGAGAUCCGGAAGAACACCGGUGGCGAAGGCGGUCUGCUGGGGUCGAACUGACGCUGAGGCGCGACAGCGUGGGGAGCAAACAGG
rnacentral:rRNA from 1 species